GAACUCAUGAGCCAUGAGAUCAUGACCUGAGCCAUAGUCAGACGCUUAACGGACUGAGCCACCCAGGUGCCCCAUAAGUGGCUGAGUUCUAAUCACUGCCUCCUUCUUCCUGUCUUCUAGGUCUGUGUUCUCAGCCACAGCAUCUGAUGCCAGUGAUUUUUCUCAUGUCAGGAAUAAUGUUGAGUUGUGAUGGUUAAUCACUAAUCUGAGAAUUGGGAAAUUUGAGUUCUAAUCUUCGUUCUGUAGGUGCCUAAUAAUUCAGGAAAACUCAGCUCAUAGGGUUUAAUCUCAGCAUCCUGUUGUGCACUAAUAAAAGAUUAGGUGACAUUAUUAUUAAUUUAUAAUUACGUGUUAUACAAUUAACACCAUAUAAUUAACAAUCCCUUGACAGUGUUUAUAAUCAUCCUCUAAUUUAUAGGAACAUUACGAUUUCCUCACUUGCACAGGCCUGGGGCAAAGUCAGACCAAUUGUUGGUCCCUGGUUCAGGCUUGCAGGGGUCACCUGACAGAAAGAAUACAACCAUCUGGGUGGCAUCAACACUAAACUUUAGACCUGCAGCUUGUGUAUUCUUUCUUUCUCCUAUCAUCAGCUCUGAAGCUUUCAUUUAAAUUUUUUAUCAAAGUCAUUUUCUUCAUGGAGUAAAUGGCUCCAUUUAGAAGUUUUAUUGACACUGUGAGAUCUUGAUUGUAGAGAAGGUCCUUGUUCAUUCUUAGGGAAAUAUUGGUCCCUGGGUGGAGCCAGGACAGUUUGGGGAACACCUACCAACCAAGGAAGUUCAAGAAUGGAGGUCAGAUACUUAGAGAGCAACUCAACUUGUGAUUCAUGAAGUUCAUUUAUUUACUCAAGCUACUUAAUAGAGGUUUUAUUGUUGUUCCUCACCCAUCCCCCUCCCCUUUUACUGAUUAAACUCUGUUAAGGACUAAAUUUUUGUGCCCCCCUCAAAAAUUCCUAUAAAAAAUUCUGAGUUCCAAGGUGAUGGUAAUAGGAGGUAGGAAGGUGAUGUCAUGGGAAUGAAGGUCUCAUAAAUGAGACGAGUGCCCCUAUAAAAGAGACCCCAGACAGACCCUUGCCUCUUCUGUCAUGUUAAAGCACAGUGGGGUGACAGCCUUCUGUGUAUCAGGAAGAGGAUUCUUACCAGACGCCAAAUGCCUUGAUCUUGGAUUUCCAGAUCUGUGGGAAAUAAAUGUUUGCUGUCUAAACCACCCAGCCUGUGGUAUAUUUUAUUACAGAAGACAGAACUGACUGAGACAAACACCUUCUCCUUCAAACUUCAUGUAUAAUUGUAUUAGGUUCAGUGGACUAGGCUCUGUCCUCUGAUGAUGCCGUAUGCAUCGCAGCAUCCCUGCCCACCCCUUAACCAUACUCAUGAAAGAGUUUAGAGGCCUCUUUCUUUUAUUUAGUACUUAUAGUUGGAUAUACCUACUGAUAACAUUUGGGAUCUAGUAUACAUGGGGUUUUAUUAAAGUGACCAUAACUGCCAUUUUCAUCAAGAUGUUUAUCUCUAUGCCUUCCUGGAGGGCAAGAUUCUGCUGUAUGAGCUACAUUAACUUGACUUGUGAUCCUAGACCAACAUACACUUGACAUAAUGAAAAAGGAACUAAAAUCAUGCUACGUGUUCCAAACUCGUAGAAUAACCUUAGCUAUGACUCCUCAUCUCUGAAGGUUGAAGUUUAAGUUUUGUAGAAUAGAAACUUUAGCCUAGAUCCAAGGCACUUACUGAAAGUUUGUAAUCUUCCAGAGUGUCCAAGAAAGGUCAUCAAAGGAUCUAUGAAACAUUAUUCAAAAGUGUAUUUGAUGGCACGUUUUUAUUGGGAAAGAGUCCAGAGCUUUCACAUUUAUCGGAGAUCUGUAAUUCCCCCAAAUUAACCAUGUGAUUUUGAGGUGAUUUUCUGCCCCUUAAUUCAAAUCUACACCAUUCUAUUCCUUGAAUCCAUCUUGAGUUGUGGAUUUGUUGAGAGGGAAGAAGGCUUCUCAACUGAAGUAGAGAGAAAAGAUCGGAAGAUCACAC